rnacentral:rRNA from 1 species
UACGUAGGGCGCAAGCGUUAUCCGGAAUUAUUGGGCGUAAAGAGCUCGUAGGCGGUUUGUCGCGUCUGCCGUGAAAGUCCGGGGCUCAACUCCGGGCCUGCAGUCGAUACGGGCUGGCUUGAGUGCGGUAGGGGAGACUGGAAUUCCUGGUGUAGCGGUGAAAUGCGCAGAUAUCAGGAGGAACACCGGUGGCGAAGGCGGGUCUCUGGGCCGUAACUGACGCUGAGGAGCGAAAGCUAGGGGGAGCAAACGGG